CUUCUUCCUCAUCCUCCUCCUCUUCAUCCUCCUCCUCUUCCUCUUCCUCCUAUACACAUUCCUAUUCUUAUUCUUAACUGUGAAAACAAUGUAACCAACCUACUCCACCUACCAGGCCUCCCCAACAGGAUAGUCUAAGCCCUCAAGCUGUAAUCAAAAUAAGCAUAUCCUUCCCAAGCCUGUUUCAUGUUCACUAAAACUAAUCAAUAUGAUCAUUAACAUAUCUGCACACACUUCCGUUAGAACGACAUCUAAUGAAUAUUUUGCCCAGUUCUAUUUUAAUCAUUUAUCUUUUAGUGACUUAUGUUUUUAUACAUAAGGGAUACAAGCCCCUUGUCAAACACAUUGCAAAUAUUUCUUUCAUACGGAAUUGAUUUUUCUUUCUUAAUUUAUUUUUGUUCUUCUUUGCAGAAAGGUCUCCUUAUGUAGCCAGGACACAUGGAACAACUGGAGACCCUCCUGCCUCUGCCUCCCAAAUGCUGGAUUACAGGAUGCUCCGUUUUCCCAGCACCACUGGCUGGCAGGACCACCAGUUCUUUCCCUGUUGCAUUAUUUGCACAUUUGAGUGAUGAGUCGAUGAGGUUGGAAGUAGAAUGCCGGUGGCAGAACACUGGCCUUGUCUGCUCGAGACCCUGGGUUCAAUCCCAGCCCGUUGGAAAAAAGAACUCAUCAAAAUAUAAAUGGUUAUUUGUGGACCCUCAA
rnacentral:sRNA from 1 species